rnacentral:rRNA from 1 species
GUGGGGAAUAUUGGACAAUGGGCGAAAGCCUGAUCCAGCAAUGCCGCGUGAGUGAUGAAGGCCCUAGGGUUGUAAAGCUCUUUUACCCGGGAUGAUAAUGACAGUACCGGGAGAAUAAGCUCCGGCUAACUCCGUGCCAGCAGCCGCGGUAAUACGGAGGGAGCUAGCGUUGUUCGGAAUUACUGGGCGUAAAGCGCGCGUAGGCGGUUUUUCAAGUCAGAGGUGAAAGCCCGGGGCUCAACCCCGGAAUUGCCUUUGAAACUGGAAGACUUGAAUCUUGGAGAGGUCAGUGGAAUUCCGAGUGUAGAGGUGAAAUUCGUAGAUAUUCGGAAGAACACCAGUGGCGAAGGCGACUGACUGGACAAGUAUUGACGCUGAGGUGCGAAAGCGUGGGGAGCAAACAGGAUUAGAAACCCUGGUAGUCC